rnacentral:lncRNA from 12 species
GGGGGCCAGGACUGUGACAAGGCUGCACCUGGGCUCGGGUAUGUUCGAAGGGUGCAGCGUGUGAAGGGCUGGGUGUUGUCAACCGUCCCCCUUAGCGACGGCAAGAGAUGGACUUACACCCGACUGGCUCUGGGGUUGGUGGGGGACGCCGAGAGACACAUUUCUGCCUUCGAGGGACUUACACUGAACUCGAGAUCGUUGAUAGCUCCUUAAGGGGCUGCUGUAUGAGCCGGAUGCUCGCUGCAACCUCCUAGCCCUUCGGGCCUCAGGAAGCUUUACCCAAAGCUCCAGGAGUCCACACAGGUCCAGAACCAUCUGCGGGGUUGGCGAGGGGUCCUGGGAGGAUCGCAGCCCCUCAGCAGCAGAUCUUUGCAAAAGGCCAGACACCUGGAAGGAGACGCUGGACACCAGAGAGAGUCAUUCAUUCACUCUGCAGACAUCAGCGGAGCACCCUCGGAGGUACUGGGCUCGUGGACCCUGGAGCCCAGCAGAGACCAAGGCUGAUAUGACCCGGCGCUCACAGAGCUGUCCAUCUAUAAGGGAGGUGGGUGAGGACGCAGAUACCUAGAACCGGAGACUUGGAGCUUAGUCAAGGGUGGAGAGGAGCCAGCAGACGGGGGGCUUGGAGGGAAUCAAGCAGGGUGGGGGUGGAGGGAGUGUGGUCAAGGAAGAGGAUCAGUCUGCAAAGGACACAUUUGUAAAACCCAGACCUGCCUAUGCCUGAGGUCUAGAGAAUGGGGUGGAGUGUGGGGUGAGGUCAGGCUGCCUUGGUCGGCAGGGGCUGGGUCCCCAAGGGCUGAAAGAGGCAUUUUAGGGAGCCAGGGCUUAUCAUGAGGACAGAGGGCCUCCAUCUAGAUGGAUGAGCAGCCUGAACUGCCUUUUGGAAGCCCCUCUUGGUCGCGGUGCAGGGUGGGUGGAAGAAGGCAUGCCUAGAGGCAGAUAGCCAGGCAGGACAUGCUUGGCCAGAGAAGCAGUGGUGGAUUUGAGCCUCUUUCCCUCAAUCCUGUCCCCUGACACGGACCUCACAGUGCAGCCUCCCAGGCAACUGAUUUGCCAGAGGCCAGGAACAGUGUCCUUCACAGGACACAUGUACCUGGGGAGUCCCA